UAGGGAAUCUUCCACAAAUCGGGCGAAAGCCUGAUGGAGCAACGCCGCGUGUGUGAUGAAGGGUUUCGGCUCGUAAAACACUGUUGUAAGAGAAGAAUGACAUUGAGAGUAACUGUUCAAUGUGUGACGGUAUCUUACCAGAAAGGAACGGCUAAAUACGUGCCAG
rnacentral:rRNA from 1 species